AGAGUUUGAUCAUGGCUCAGGACGAACGCUGGCGGUAUGCUUAACACAUGCAAGUCGAACGAGACAAAAGAGAAGUGCUUGCACGGAUCUUUUAGAAAGUGGCGAACGGGUGAGUAACGCGUGGGUAACCUACCCUAUGGAAAGGAAUAGCCUCGGGAAACUGGGAGUAAUGCCUUAUAAGAUAUAUUUGUCGCAUGGCAGAUGUAUUAAACGCUCCGGUGCCAUAGGAUGGACCCGCGUCCCAUUAGCUAGUUGGUGAGAUAACAGCUCACCAAGGCGACGAUGGGUAACCGGUCUGAGAGGGCGAACGGUCACACUGGAACUGAGACACGGUCCAGACUCCUACGGGAGGCAGCAGUGGGGAAUAUUGCGCAAUGGGGGAAACCCUGACGCAGCAAUACCGCGUGAGUGAAGAAGGUUUUCGGAUCGUAAAGCUCUGUUAUUGGGGAAGAAAAAAAGACGGUACCCAAGAAGAAAGUCCCGGCUAACUACGUGCCAGCAGCCGCGGUAAUACGUAGGGGACAAGCGUUGUCCGGAUUUACUGGGCGUAAAGGGCACGCAGGCGGUUUUUUAAGUCAGAUGUGAAAGGUACCGGCUCAACCGGUGACAUGCAUUUGAAACUGAAAGACUUGAGUAUUGGAGAGGCAAGUGGAAUUCCUAGUGUAGCGGUGAAAUGCGUAGAUAUUAUGAGGAACACCGGUGGCGAAAGCGGCUUGCUGGACAAAUACUGACGCUGAGUGCGAAAGCGUGGGGAGCAAACAGAUUAGAUACCCUGUAGUCCACGCCGUAACGAUGAGUGCUAGUGUUGGGGAGACUCAGUGCCGCAGCUAACGCAAUAAGCACUCCGCCUGGGGAGUACGA
rnacentral:rRNA from 1 species